UAGAGACUUCCUGUGUAUUCUCCUCAGUGGCCCCAUGGCUGAUGACCGAGGGGCUCUGGGUCGUCCUGAGGCCAAAGCCCUUGAGCUUUCCGAGUCGCGGGCCAUCAGUGAGAAGCACAUCUCACAGGCACGGACCCUCCCGGUUGUCACCCUUUGCAGGCUCAUUUCCUUUGACACCUCAUUUCGUUCCACCGCUGCCCGGCAGGCGGAGCAGGUGCGGUGAGGACCCCACUCCGCAGAGGGAGGAGCCCAGGCACUGUGAUGGUUGCAGACAGGUCCAACCAAUCUGGUCACACCGUGUUCACUGUAGCGGCCACGAAGGUGAUCCUGGAUCCCCGUCAAGAGAGAACUCGUCUUCCUCUGCAGGGGUGCAGUUGACGGACAGCCUCCAGCACAGCCCCCCGGGGCCCCUGCUCUUCCCGGGGAGGCCCAGCUGUGACUGCGCAGAGAGGGUGAGGGAUCUUUGCUGCAGAGCAGGGACUGUCCGCUUUGCACGGUGGUGCUGGUGGCCUCUCCCUGCCUGACCCUGCUUCCUUUCUUUUUAUCUUUUAUGGGCUUUUCCCUCCACCCACGUGAAACUUCGUUCACCCCCAACGCCAGCACCUGCUUCUCGGAGACCCCAACGGAUAGACUCACCCUUUAAACUCUGCACAUUAUGCACGUGACUUUGUUCUGGUUCGUUCCGAUUUCUUUUUUUAAUGGGAAGAUUACAUAAGAACGUUUUCAUACUCAGACUGGGACCUGAUCUACGUUUUCAAAAAAACUCCAAUCCCUGAGGUUGGAUGCUCCUGAAAUUGAACUUUCGGGACACCCCACCUCAUUCUCUCAGCAGAUCCUGCUACCCUUGAGAUCGUUUCUCCUUGAAAGCUUUUCCUGACCUCCUGACUUCAAUUUGCUAGACCCCCUUGUCCUAGCCUCCCCAGAUGAGUCCUUGGUGAAACUCAUCAAGCUCUCAGUUAGUUGUCCGAGGUCAGAUCCUUGCCCCUGAUCUCUUUGAAGUCACGAUCUAAAACUCUUGCUCACUGCUAAUCCCUCAGGACUCAGGCCAGUGCCUCGGCCACAGAAGCUGCUUAGUAAAUAGCUGACAGAGUGCUGAAUCUGCCAACCUAAAGGCUUGAAAAGCUGGCCCUUGACCAGAACUGAUGUAUCUGCCCCCAUUGUGUCCUCGGUCUUGGGGACAUCGCUCUUGCUUCCUGAUCACAGCACAGACCCGUAGAGUUGAGUGUUUAAAAAAACCCUAAGGGUUAUCCCAUCUGAUGUCAGACAGGUUGUGCGAUGUCCAACAAUCCAAGAUUUUCCAGUGUUAGCUUGACUACCAGGGGUGGAGACUACCUCGCAAGGCCACCACUGCCUCCUGGACAGCUCUGACCGUCACAUUUCCUACAGCUUUGGUCCACAUCAUAUUCACACCAUUUACUCUUUCCAUAAUGUGGACAACCUAAAUGGGCUCUCUGGCCCAAAGUGCUUUUGUUAAGGGGGCCGAAAGUUUUCUUCCUCCAAAUAGUCUCUCAAGUGGGGACCUAGCAAGAGUAAACUAGAAAUACUCCAGGGGCACCUUGGUGGCUCAGUCGUGUGAGCCUCUGACUCUCGGAUUUAGUUCAGGUCAGGUCAUGAUCUGGUGGUUCACGAGUUCAAGCCCUGCACCGGGCUCCUUCUCUCUCUCUCCCUACUCCCCUUUCUCAAAAUAAAUAAAUAAACUUAAAAAAAAAAAAAAGAGAG
rnacentral:lncRNA from 1 species